GGGCUUACUAUUUUUAACAUUUUUUGUUUCUUUUCAAGAUAGCAUGAUUAACUAACAAGCUAUUUAGGGAAAGUAAAUAAUUUAAGGGAAAUGGGAAUGCAGAAAGGAUAAAUAUGGUUAACUACCGAUUUUAUCUUUCGACGAGGGUUCAAUGUUUUAAGUCUUCUGAACAAGACUUCUCACCGUGUUCAUUCUUCAGGUGCGUCAUUUUAUUCAGGUGCGGACCUUGAUGUCUGCACCUCUUGAUACGGUGUCACCCAUGUUCUUCGUUUGUCCAGC
rnacentral:lncRNA from 1 species